AUACGGAGGGUGCAAGCGUUGUUCGGAAUUAUUGGGCGUAAAGCGCGUGUAGGCGGUUUGUUAAGUCUGAUGUGAAAGCCCCGGGCUCAACCUGGGAAGUGCAUUGGAAACUGGCAAACUUGAGUACGGGAGAGGAAAGUGGAAUUUCGAGUGUAGGGGUGAAAUCCGUAGAUAUUCGAAGGAACACCAGUGGCGAAGGCGACUUACUGGACUGUAACUGACGCUGAGUCACGAAAGCGUGGGUAGCAAACAGGAUUAGAUACCCUGGUAGUCCACGCUGUAAACGAUGAGUGCUAGGCGUUGCGGGUAUUGACCCCUGCAGUGCCGAAGCUAACGCAUUAAGUACCCCGCCUGGGGAGUACGGCCGCAAGGCUAAA
rnacentral:rRNA from 1 species